UAGGGAAUCUUCGGCAAUGGGGGGAACCCUGACCGAGCAACGCCGCGUGAGUGAAGAAGGUUUUCGGAUCGUAAAGCUCUGUUGUUAAGGAAGAACGAGUGUGAGAAUGGAAAGUUCAUACUGUGACGGUACUUAACCAGAAAGGGACGGCUAACUACGUGCCAGCAGCCGCGGUAAUACGUAGGUCCCGAGCGUUGUCCGGAUUUAUUGGGCGUAAAGCGAGCGCAGGCGGUUAGAUAAGUCUGAAGUUAAAGGCAGUGGCUCAACCAUUGUAGGCUUUGGAAACUGGUUGACUUGAGUGCAGAAGAGGAGAGUGGAAUUCCAUGUGUAGCGGUGAAAUGCGUAGAUAUAUGGAGGAACACCAGUGGCGAAGGCGACUCUCUGGUCUGUAACUGACGCUGAGGCUCGAAAGCGUGGGGAGCGAACAGG
rnacentral:rRNA from 1 species